rnacentral:lncRNA from 1 species
GCGUCUGUGCAAAAACACCCUGAAGAAAUGUAUUCACAACUCAUUUUCUGAACAAGUUUCUACUGCCUGGCUACUGCUGUAGUGUAGAGUGCGGGUGAAAAGAAGGUGAGGAAAGAGGAUCUCUCUUGCUUAAGAGCUUUGAGUUAGGAGGAGUUAUAUUUGUCAAGUCCAAGGGUGAGAAGAGAUCCAAUUGCAUUCCAUGUGAAGCAAAGCAGUCAGUUUCAAAGCAUUGAUAUUUUGUUGAACACAGUGCUCAUUACUUUGGGCUUGACAAAACUCAGAGUCCAAAUUUAUCAUAUCAGAAACUGAAGAUGAAGACUUGAAAUACUUCUGUAACUUUGGGCUUGCUGCUUUUUCCCCCGUGUGUGGUAUAACGGCGCAUCAUGAUUAUUUCUGAACAUCAUCGAAUUC